CUCCCCUUCCUCCUCCUCUUCCUCUUUUUCUUCCUCUUCCUCUGGCUCCUUUUGGUUGGAUCUUUGUUUAAUUUUGGUCUCAGGGUAAAAAUUGAGUUCAUAAAAAAAAUUUUGAAGUUGGGACACUUUAAAUUACUGCUUAUAUUUCAUUGGUUAUGUGUCUUGUGUAAAUUAUUUGCUUCAUCUUGAUU
rnacentral:miRNA from 1 species